AACAAACGCUGGCGGCGUGCCUAAUACAUGCAAGUCGAACGGGGAAAGCUUUCGGGUGAGUACUAGUGGCGCACGGGUGAGUAACGCGUGGAUAAUCUGCCCUCGAAUGGGGAAUAACUAGUCGAAAGAUUAGCUAAUACCGCAUAAGACCACGACUACUGAGGUAGUUGGGGUCAAAGGGGCAAUUCGUUUGAGGAUGAGUCCGCGUAAGAUUAGCUAGUUGGUGAGGUAAUGGCUCACCAAGGCGAUGAUCUUUAACUGGUCUGAGAGGAUGAUCAGUCACACUGGAACUGAGACACGGUCCAGACUCCUACGGGAGGCAGCAGUAGGGAAUAUUGGACAAUGGGGGCAACCCUGAUCCAGCGACGCCGCGUGAGCGAUGAAGGCCUUCGGGUCGUAAAGCUCUGUUGUAAGGGAAAAAGUUCUGAUUGUACCUUACGAGAAAGGAUCGGCUAGCUUCGUGCCAGCCGCCGCCGUAA
rnacentral:rRNA from 1 species